AUGAUAGUGUGGAAUGUAUAUGGACUCAAUAACCCAGCACGACGUAGGGCUGUUUUUCAGACAGUCGUCAAAGCGGAUCCGAGCUUGAUCUGUUUCCAAGAGACUAAAAUGGCGGUGCUGACCUUGGACAUUUUGCAAUGUGUGGGAAAUAAAUUCAAGGGUUUUUAUUAUCUGCCAGCUUUGGGCACAUGUGGAGGAAUUCUUCUAGCUUGGGAUCCCCUCGUUGUAACCCUCUGGAACCCUCACCUCACCAAGAACACCAUCUCGGCGGUCGUCUCAUCCCCUGGAUCGAAUCCAUGGUGGAUUACGGGCGUGUAUGGCCCCAAUCCCGAGGCAGCAAAAAUUGAGUUCAUGCGCGAAUUGGAGGAUGCUCGGGAUUUGCAAGCAGGGCCGUGGUUGUUAGUUGGGGAUUUCAACUUGCUUGUCAAUCCAGAGGACAAAAAUAACAGCUCGAUCAACUGCAGAAUGAUCUCUCGUUUCCAGACAAGACUAAAUAGGCUUGAGCUCAAGGAAAUUUACUUAAUGGGAGAAGAUACACGUGGUCCAAUGAGAGAGCGCAUGCAACUUUGGAGAAGAUCGACCAUGUUUUUGCUACAAAUUCUUGGGAGGACCUUUACCCCUCCUGCUUCCUCACGACGCUGGGAUCUUCGUUCUUGGAUCACUGUCCAUUGCUUCUGGACCUUCAUGCGGAUUUCACUUUCGGGAAGCGGUUCAAAUUCGAAGCCUUCUGGCCAAAAGCUCCUGGAUUCUUAG
rnacentral:rRNA from 1 species